rnacentral:piRNA from 1 species
UGCCAGUAUCCUGGUGUGUGGUCAUUGGUUU